UAACCAAUAAAUUUAUUAAACAUCCACAUAAAACAUAUGUAUACCCAGACAAAUUACAAAACCACCAUUACAUUCAUACAACUACUGCAUAUAACACAUUUCCUAAAUUUUAAUUCCUAUUUACCAAAAGAUAUGAAACAUUGUAUUAUCUCACUGUUACUUCAGUAAGAUAAAUUAUUAACAAAGGUUUCUUCAAAAUAUGGUUUCAACUUGUCAACAUACAUAAUUUUCUAUUUUAUGGUAGCAUAACUUUUUUGUAAAAGGUAAGAAAAUGUAAUUUUAAUACCAAGAAGAUAUGUUGUGACAUUAAUUGGUCCCAAAAUUCAGAUGAACGGAAAUUUUUCACUGCUUUCAAAACUGUGCAAGUUUUAUUGAUGAAUGCUUAUGAUAAUAUAGUCUUGACACAUUCAGUCACUUUGACAUAUUUCAUCGAAGAUGGUCAUUUUAAACAUAUACUAUCAGCCAAGGCCUUACAUCAAAAUAAAGUUUACCCUUAAAAAAAUCUUUGUACAAUUUUCUCAUUAUAGCAAAACAUCUUUUAGGUGAGAUCUUGACUCUUUUUGAUACAUUAAUUACUAUAUAUCAAACUGAGUUUAUUUUGGCAGUUUUUAAUCAAAUAAUUUUAAAGCAAGUUUAUAACCAAUAAUAGCACUAAUGAAAAACACAAUUCACAAUAUAAAUACUGAUAGCUGAUAGACUAAUGUCUUGUAUGCACAUUUACAAAUACAGUAUUUAAUUUGUACAACACAUAUCUAUAUUUUGAAAUUUCUGUUUGAAAUAGAAAAGGAUAUGUGCAUAAAAUCAUUACUUCAUCAGUCAUGGUUUAACAACACAAAAGAAUUUUUAAAUUAUAUAAAAGCAUUACUAUAUUUUAUAGCCACAAUGAUUAAUUUUUGUAAACCAAGGAUUUAUUACCGAAAUAAUUGGCUGAUCUCUUGUUUAGCUUCAUAUAACUCAUACAUCAAAAAUGCGUGAUUGAAGACAUCAAAAUACUAGUAAUAAACAUAUUUUGAUAUACAUUAUGAAAUUUACAGCAAGUAUCGCACAUUGAUUAUCAACAAUAUCAUGAGGUACACUUAUCAAUACAUAUCACAAAUACCUAUAAUCCAACACUAAACACAUGACUCUCAUUGACACUUCAAUUCAGAAGUACAGUUCAUUAUUUCAUAAAUGUUGCAUUCUUUUAACUAAGGCUGUUUUUGUAUAUUUGACAGUAUUUUAGUUCAUUUUACCAAUAAAUACCAAUUUAAGUACAUUACAUCUUUGGUAAUUUUUCGUCAUAAAAAACAUAUGUUAAUUUUUUUAUUACAAACUAUUGUGUUAUUUUUCAGUAAUUAUCAAGUUCAUUUAUGAUACAAUGAUCGUACUAUGCACAUUUACUUAUUUAUAAACUGAUUGAAAGAUUAAUAAAUAACAAACAUUUAAACUAUUUACAUCAAACAAAAAGGCGAUACAUGAACCUAUGUUUAUGAGGGUUAUCUUGUUUCCAUAUAUGUAUGGAAAAUAAAAAUUGGGAACAUAUUCUUCCAAGUUCAAUAAAUCAUCCGGUAAAAAUAACCUUUAUAGACUUUAUAAACAACUUUAAUUAUUUAAGGUAUGGUUUUUGUUUGAUGACAGUCUUAAUCAUGUAGUUAAAAAACUGUAUAUAAUUUUAAUCUGCUCAGAAGAGUUCCAGUAUAUGCAAAAAGAAGUGAGAAGUUCCUCAAAUCCAGAAAUAUAUUCAACCAUCCCAUAUCAAUUUUAUUGGAAAAACUCUAAUGGCACUGCAACUUUUCAUUCAUAAAAAUUAAAAUUUCAACAAAUAUCAGUUCAACCAAAGUGAUAGUAUAUAUAAUGAUCAUUCACAAUACUAAAGGGUCGCACGGUAACAAACUGAAGUACUUUUGCCUUUAAAAUAUACACAACUCUUUUAGUUUACAUAACAAAUCUCGUGACGAAGAAAUCCACAUAUUUUAAUUAAUAACUCAUCUAAAGUCAGUAAAACUCUUGGAUAACUACAUUCCUUUCAUUUUCUUUAUCCAUAGAAACUUUUCAAUUUGCCGUUAUAGAAUCUAAAGGACUGUUAGAAAUCUAAAUGUUUGUACACCAAAAAAUGAAAAUAAAGUUAAGCCAUUGGUUGAAUUCCUAUCGUUUAGAAGGUUUAAAUAUCAAUCACAACAUUUUGUGUACACUUUCGAAAAAUUAACCAGAAUGCAUUAGAUUCUGAAAGGGCAAAUUCUUAGUCAUGAGCAAAAUUAAUGUUAAUAAUACACAGUUUGAAUGCUUAUAGGGUGAAUUUGUAAAUAUUCACAACAAUAACAUGUUGACAUGUAUAAACCUGUAUUGCGUAGUGAAGUAGAUUUUAACCUUCAACUUCUCUAAAAUUACCAUUACAGAGAGUUUAAAGUAAUUUUUCAUUCACAUAAAAGAUUUUGUCAAUGUGACAUAUAUGUUGCUAGUAUUCAAUGAUAAUGUCAGAUUACUCAGACAGUGCAUAAUAAAACGGUAUAUUGAUGACUAGCUUAAUUUCUGAAUAUCUUAUUAUUUUGAGCAUUAUUCAUUUAUGGUUUUGUAUUGAAUAAACAUGAACUAAAAAUGAGUAAGAAAUCUUCUCUACUACUAAAGUUUACAAAACAGACACCAUAUAACUUUCAAAGCAAAGCAACAUAAAACUUGUAUUUAAUUAACAUCUUGAAAAGGAGAAUUUCAUUUGUCAGAUAUACAAGUAUAAAUAAUAAUUCCUUUUCCAAUUUUGUUCUCAAACUCUUUUUUAUUCAAUCAUAUUCUUUAUAGUGAUAUCUUAUUCAUAUCUAAUUUUGAGAGAGAAAAACAAAUUAAAUUUAUAAUGUUUGUAGGUUCUUAUUUAUAUUUUAAAUAAUUUCUUAAAUUGUCAAAGAUUAAUGCUGAAUUCUUGAAAAAAAAAUUGGAAAAGAUAUAUUAUUUAAGGAAUGACUGUAAUAUUUUUUCUGUCUAUGAAGAAAGAACAUAAAAAAUUUGGUGCACACUGAAUAACGUGCGUAGCGGGUUAUUUAACAGUGUGCACCACAUUUUUUAUGUUAUUUCGAAUAGAUAGAAAAAAUAUUACAGUCAUUUCUUAUAAUUUAAUUCUAAAUUCCAUUUUAAACUGUAGAAAAUCAUGAAAAAACAUUGAUGACGUCACGGUCACAUGACUAAAUUAUGUCUAUGGGCUCAUAACAAAAUAACGUCAGCCAAUCAGAAGACGUGUUACAUCCAAAAUUAAAUUAUAAAACAAUUGACAAAAGAAUGAUUCAGAGUUGGAGGGUAAAACUUAACUCAUAUAAAAAGACAGAAUUCAAAGUAUUUACUUUUUAUAUUAAAUUUACUGAUUAACAUGAUUAAUAUAAAGUAAUAAAGAAUAAAUUGAAUUGAGAAUUCUUACAAGUAUUG
rnacentral:lncRNA from 1 species